UGGAAGUAAAAAGUCGUAACAAGGUUUCCGUAGGUGAACCUGCGGAAGGAUCAUUACAGAAUUUUGAGAAUUGUGCUUAACUGCACUUUUCUUAUCUACACACGUGUUUUUGUUUUAUUCUUAAAACUUGCUUUGGCAGUGGCUGCUUAAUUGCUCUGCUGCCAGAGGAUAAACUCAACCUAAAUUUUUUAUUUUAAACUAGUCAACUGAUUAUAUUUAUUAAUAGUCAAAACUUUCAACAACGGAUCUCUUGGUUCUCGCAUCGAUGAAGAACGCAGCGAAAUGCGAUAAGUAAUAUGAAUUGCAGAUAUUCGUGAAUCAUCGAAUCUUUGAACGCACAUNGCGCCCUCUGGUAUUCCGGAGGGCAUGCCUGUUUGAGCGUCAUUUCUCCCUCAAACCCCCGGGUUUGGUGAUGAGCAAUACGCCAGGUUUGCUUGAAAGUUAGGAGGAGUAUUUAUAACAAUGUAUUAGGUCUAACCACUCCAUUGUGCUUAAUAAAAGCUCCAAUCUAUAUUUCAAACUUCGACCUCAAAUCAGGUAGGAUUACCCGCUGAACUUAAGCAUAUCAAUAAGCGGGAGGAA
rnacentral:rRNA from 1 species